rnacentral:rRNA from 1 species
GUCGAGCGAACAGAAGGGAGCUUGCUCCCGGAUGUUAGCGGCGGACGGGUGAGUAACACGUGGGUAACCUGCCUGUAAGACUGGGAUAACUCCGGGAAACCGGAGCUAAUACCGGAUAGUUCCUUGAACCGCAUGGUUCAAGGAUGAAAGACGGUUUCGGCUGUCACUUACAGAUGGACCCGCGGCGCAUUAGCUAGUUGGUGGGGUAAUGGCUCACCAAGGCGACGAUGCGUAGCCGACCUGAGAGGGUGAUCGGCCACACUGGGACUGAGACACGGCCCAGACUCCUACGGGAGGCAGCAGUAGGGAAUCUUCCGCAAUGGACGAAAGUCUGACGGAGCAACGCCGCGUGAGUGAUGAAGGUUUUCGGAUCGUAAAGCUCUGUUGUUAGGGAAGAACAAGUGCGAGAGUAACUGCUCGCACCUUGACGGUACCUAACCAGAAAGCCACGGCUAACUACGUGCCAGCAGCCGCGGUAAUACGUAGGUGGCAAGCGUUGUCCGGAAUUAUUGGGCGUAAAGGGCUCGCAGGCGGUUUCUUAAGUCUGAUGUGAAAGCCCCCGGCUCAACCGGGGAGGGUCAUUGGAAACUGGGAAACUUGAGUGCAGAAGAGGAGAGUGGAAUUCCACGUGUAGCGGUGAAAUGCGUAGAGAUGUGGAGGAACACCAGUGGCGAAGGCGACUCUCUGGUCUGUAACUGACGC